GUUCCAGCCUGCUGGAGAAAAAUAAAACAGAAAUCUCCUCCUCAUCCACCUUCUGUGAUGGCAGUACUCACAGCUCCUCCUCUUGGGCCCCCUGGCCUCUGAGAGCCACCCACACCCACCCUGCGCCCAGGCCCUGCACCCGAAGCUCCCCCGGUGAGGAACAUGGGCAUUCAACAGAAGAAAAAUACCAUUGAUUUUGGAAGCAGAGCUCAGGGGAGCUGGGCUGCACUCCCAGCUCUGCACAGAUCUCAGAUGGGAGCUGAAUCUCUCUGGGCUUGGGUUUCUUUCCCCGAAAAACAUGGACCACUCUAGGCUCCUGUGCUACUCCAUUUGACAUGACAGCAGCCCCAGCUUAAUAAGGCUGGCAUCCCAAGAGGACCAGCCUCUCAAACAGUGUCCUGGGCUCAGGCCCCUGAUGUACCCUCCUCUUGGAAAAAUAUCUGAUGGAGCAUCCCACUGUGAGUACUCCCCUACCUCAGAGUAGGAAAAACCCCUGAGGUCUCAUUUAUUGACUGCUUACUGGAGAUAAGGAAACUGGAACGACCUGUCCAAGAUCACAUAUAUAUCAGAGGCAGGAUUUGAACACAGGUAUUUUUAACUUCAAAGCCGAGGCACUUUAAUCAUCAUCCUUUCACAGGAGAGACAAUGCACAAAAGGCAAUAAAUAAAACUUCUUCCUAAAUCUGGAUGGAUUUUAUGCAAAGAGAAAAGUCAGAAUAGAAAGUGUUGACAAAAUACAAAAACAAAACAAAACGAAAAAGCAAAACAAACCCAAAACCAACGCGAGGCACUGAAGAGUGAAUAAAAGCAAGUAGGCCCUGGCUGGGAGUCAACACUUGGAAGAAGGGCAUGACAUAUGGCUCUUGUUGACCACAGAUAACUAAAGUUCACAGAAAUUGAGCCACUAACAAUGGGGGACUACUGUAUCAGAAGUUAAAGAGGGGUCAUCAAUACUGAUCCCAUGGAUAUUAAAAGGAUGAUAAAGGAAUAUCACGAACAACUGUUGCCAUAAAUUUGAUAACCUAGAUGAAAUAGGCCAAUUCCUUGAAAGAUAUAAACUACCAAAACUCACACAAGAAACAAUAAUCUUGAUAAGCCUAUAUCUAUUAAAGAAAUUGAGUCAAUAAUUGAUAACCUUCCAAAAAUGAAAGCACAAAACAACUAUAAAGCUGGAGGACUGACACCCCCUGACUCCAAGACUUACUACAAAGCCAUAGAAAUCAAGACAGCAUGGAACUGACAAAACAACAGACCCAUGGAUCAAUGGAACAGAAUGAAGAGCCCAGAAAUAGACCCACACCAAAGGAACAAAGCAAUUCAAUGGAGAAGGGAGAGCCUGUUCAACAAAUGAUGCUGGAACAACUGGAUGUGCACAUGCAAAAAAAAAAAAAAAAAAAAAAAAGGAAUCUACACACAAAUCUUGCUCCUACAAAUACUAACUGAAAAUGGAUCAUACAGCUAAAUGUACAAUGCAAAAAUUAUAAAACCUCUAGAAGCUAACUGUAUUUGUAUUCAUGCUGCUGAUAAAGAUAAAAACUGGGCAGUUUACAAAAGAAAGAGGUUUAAUUGGACUUACAGUUCCACAUGGCUGGGAAAGCCUCAGAAUCAUGGCAGAAGGCGAGGAGGAGCAAGUCACAAGUUACGUGGAUGGUGGCAGGCAAAGAGAGGGAGCUCGUGCAGGGGAAUUCCUCUUUUUAAAACCAUCAGAUCUCAUGAGACUUAUUCACUAUCAUGAGAACAGCAUGGGAAAGGCUUGCCGCCAUGAUUCAGGUACCUCUGACUGGGUCCCUCCCACAACACACGGGAAUUCAAUAUGAGAUUUGGGUGGGGACAGAGCCAAACCAUAUCAUUCUGCCCCAGGCCAUUCCCAAAUCUUGCAUCCUCACAUUUCAAAACCAAUCAUGCCUUCCCAACAGUCCCCCAAAGUCUUAACUCAUUUCAGCAUUAACUCAGAAGCCCACCAUCCAAAGUUCAUUGGAGACAAGUCCCUUCCACCUAUAAGCCUGUAAAAUCAAAAGCAAGUUAGUUACUUCCUAGAUACAAUGGGGGUACAGGUAUUGGGUAAAUACAGCCACUCCACAUGAAAGAAAUUGUCUAAAACAAAGGGGCUACAGGCCCCCAUAGAAGUCUGAAAUACAACAGGGCAGUCAAAUCUCAAAGCUCCAAAAUGAUCUCCUUUGACUCCAUGUCUCACAUCUGGGUCACACUGAUGCAAGAGGUGGGUUCCUAUGGUCUUGGGCAGUUCUGCUCCUGUGGCUUUGCAGGGUAUAGCCCCCCUCCUGUCUGCUUUCACGGGCUGGUGUUGAGUGUCUGUGGCUUUUCCAGGUGCACUGUGAAAGCUGUCAGUGGAUCUAUCAUUCUGGGGUCUGGAGGAUGGUAACUCUUUUCUCACAGCUCCACUAUGCAGUGCCCCAGUAGGGACUCUGUGUGGGGGCUCUGACUCCACAUUUCCCUCUGCACUGCCCUAGCAGAGGUUCUCCAUGAGGGCCCUGCCCUUACAAAUUUUUGCAUGGACAUCGAGGCAUUUCCAUACAUCCUCUGAAAUCUAGG
rnacentral:lncRNA from 1 species